AUUCAGAUGAAGAGUCCUGAAUAGGACGAAUCAUGCGUCCUGGAU
rnacentral:hammerhead_ribozyme from 1 species